rnacentral:tRNA from 1 species
CGGGCGGGUGGGCGGCCGGAUCGGCUGCGGGUCGGCCCGUGGCCGGCCUGGCGGCUGGUUGGUCGUCGGCCUGCUCGGUGGCCGGCCCGGCGGC